rnacentral:pre_miRNA from 1 species
GACUGCCCUCAAGGAGCUUACAAUCUAGCUGGGGGUAAGCAGCUGGCACAUGAACACAACUAGACUGUGAGCUUCUAGAGGGCAGGAG